UUCGGCAUCAAUAUGGUGACCUCCCGGGAG
rnacentral:piRNA from 2 species